AACGAACGCUGGCGGCAGGCCUAACACAUGCAAGUCGAACGCCCUAGCAAUAGGGAGUGGCAGACGGGUGAGUAACACGUGGGAACGUGCCCUUCGGUUCGGAAUAACUCAGGGAAACUUGAGCUAAUACCGGAUAAGUGCGAGGGCAGAAAGAUUUAUCCCCGAAGGAUCGGCCCGCGUCCGAUUAGCUAGUUGGUGAGGUAAUGGCUCACCAAGGCGACGAUCGGUAGCUGGUCUGAGAGGAUGACCAGCCACACUGGGACUGAGACACGGCCCAGACUCCGACGGGAGGCAGCAGUGGGGAAUAUUGGACAAUGGGCGAAAGCCUGAUCCAGCCAUGCCGCGUGAGUGAUGAAGGCCCUAGGGUUGUAAAGCUCUUUCGCCAGGGACGAUAAUGACGGUACCUGGAUAAGAAGCCCCGGCUAACUUCGUGCCAGCCGCCGCAGUAA
rnacentral:rRNA from 1 species